rnacentral:rRNA from 1 species
GGCCUACGGGGGGCUGCAGUGGGGAAUAUUGCACAAUGGGCGCAAGCCUGAUGCAGCGACGCCGCGUGGGGGAUGACGGCCUUCGGGUUGUAAACUCCUUUCGCCAGGGACGAAGCGCAAGUGACGGUACCUGGAGAAGAAGCACCGGCCAACUACGUGCCAGCAGCCGCGGUAAUACGUAGGGUGCGAGCGUUGUCCGGAAUUACUGGGCGUAAAGAGCUCGUAGGCGGUUUGUCGCGUCGUCUGUGAAAUCCUGCAACUCAAUUGUAGGCGUGCAGGCGAUACGGGCAGACUUGAGUACUACAGGGGAGACUGGAAUUCCUGGUGUAGCGGUGAAAUGCGCAGAUAUCAGGAGGAACACCGGUGGCGAAGGCGGGUCUCUGGGUAGUAACUGACGCUGAGGAGCGAAAGCGUGGGGAGCGAACAGGAUUAGAUACCCCAGUAGUCC